rnacentral:rRNA from 1 species
GACGAACGCUGGCGGCGUGCUUAACACAUGCAAGUCGAACGGAAAGGCCCUUCGGGGUACUCGAGUGGCGAACGGGUGAGUAACACGUGGGUGAUCUGCCCUGCACUUUGGGAUAAGCCUGGGAAACUGGGUCUAAUACCGAAUAGGACCACGCGCUUCAUGGUGUGUGGUGGAAAGCUUUUGCGGUGUGGGAUGGGCCCGCGGCCUAUCAGCUUGUUGGUGGGGUAAUGGCCUACCAAGGCGACGACGGGUAGCCGGCCUGAGAGGGUGACCGGCCACACUGGGACUGAGAUACGGCCCAGACUCCUACGGGAGGCAGCAGUGGGGAAUAUUGCACAAUGGGCGCAAGCCUGAUGCAGCGACGCCGCGCGAGGGAUGACGGCCUUCGGGUUGUAAACCUCUUUCAAUAGGGACGAAGCGCAAGUGACGGUACCUAUAGAAGAAGCACCGGCCAACUACGUG